AUGAACGCUGGCGGCGUGCCUAACACAUGCAAGUCGAACGAAGCACCUUGAUUUCCUCGGAUUGAUUGGUGACUGAGUGGCGGACGGGUGAGUAACGCGUGGGUAACCUGCCUCAUACAGGGGGAUAACAGUUAGAAAUGACUGCUAAUACCGCAUAAGCGCACAGUAUCGCAUGAUGCAGUGUGAAAAACUCCGGUGGUAUGAGAUGGACCCGCGUCUGAUUAGCUAGUUGGUAAGGUAACGGCUUACCAAGGCGACGAUCAGUAGCCGGCCUGAGAGGGUGAUCGGCCACAUUGGGACUGAGACACGGCCCAAACUCCUACGGGAGGCAGCAGUGGGGAAUAUUGCACAAUGGGGGAAACCCUGAUGCAGCAACGCCGCGUGAAGGAUGACGUAUUUCGGUAUGUAAACUUCUAUCAGCAAGGAAGAUGAUGACGGUACUUGACUAAGAAGCCCCGGCUAACUACGUG
rnacentral:rRNA from 1 species